CAAAACAGACCCAAAUAACAAAAAAAUAAAUAUAAAAACCAAAUAAAAAUAAAAUAACAGUCUAUUAUAACAAAAUUUGGCCCAAUAAACAACUCAGCCCAAUCCUAAAGCUAAUAACCUAACCCAAUUUACACGGCCCGAUUCAAGUUGAAACCCUAGCCUUCAACAGUUUUCAGCUUUAGCCGCCGCCUUCCCUCGGCCUCACGUGCCCCACGAGCCACGCCUCUGAGCUGCUCCAUGCCAGCCUCUGCCUCUGUACGCGUCAAGCCACGUCACGCGUACCCGUACCUGCACACAAACAAACAGCAGAGAGCAAAGAAACAAAAAGGACUUAGCAAAGAAAGAGGAUAACAUAAUAGAUUUUGAUUUUUUUUCUUUUUCGGUUAUUUAGGCUAUAUAAAAGCCAAACAAAAAUCGUUUUAAAGGGAGGCAAAUUGUAUCAAAAGUAGAAUAUAAAAAAAAAGGUUGCUUUUUUCAUUCGGUUUCCGAUUGCUUUUCUUUUUUGUGUGUUUUGGUAUUUCAUAUAUAUACAAGUAUAUAUGUAGAGCAAAUAAAAGAUAAAAGGAAAAAAAGGGUCGAGAAACCUUACCUGGAUCGAUGCGUUGCCGAAUCCCUCCUCCGUUCAGGCCAAGAUUGAACUGGCGAUGGGGGUUUUCGACACUGAAGCGGCGCAGAG
rnacentral:lncRNA from 1 species